CGGACGGGGGAGUAAUGUCUGGGAAACUGCCCGAUGGAGGGGGAUAACUACUGGAAACGGUAGCUAAUACCGCAUAACGUCGCAAGACCAAAGAGGGGGACCUUCGGGUCUCUUGCCAUCGGAUGUGCCCAGAUGGGAUUAGCUAGUAGGUGGGGUAACGGCUCACCUAGGCGACGAUCCCUAGCUGGUCUGAGAGGAUGACCAGCCACACUGGAACUGAGACACGGUCCAG
rnacentral:rRNA from 1 species